rnacentral:lncRNA from 1 species
UUGCGGCGGAUGGAGAAGGUGGUGGGAGAGCAGUCUAUGGAUUGGUGCCGCCGCAAGGAGCGGUGAUGGUGCUGGUGUAUGGAGUUGAAAAUGUUGGUGAAUGAUGUGGGAAGCAAAUUAUUGAUGAUUUGCAGUCAAUUGAUGCUUAAACUGGAAUCGUUGUGUUGAUUUAGUGUAGUUUAUGCAAUUAUGUGCAAAUGAAUGAUACUAUUCUCUUAUGUGAAUGACAUUUCGAUUUACUGGAAAUGACACUUUUAUUUAGGAUAAUGAUACUCAAUAUAAUAUUCACUUAAUUAAUAUCUCAUAGUUUCCUUUAGUUACUUUUCUUUUAUUUUAGUGUCUUUUCCGUUUCUUUUUCUUCUUCUUGUUUUUAAUUCUUUUCUUUUCUUUCAUUUUUGUAUCUUUUCCGUUUCUUUUUCUUCUUCUUUUUUUUUAAUUCUUUUCGAUUUGUUUCCUUUUUGUUCCGACAAAAUACUUUUCCUUUCAUUUUUUUCUUUUCUUUUUCAUUUUCUUCUUCUUUUUCUUCUUCUUUUUUCUUUUUUUCUUUUCUUUUUAAUUAUAUUUUUAUUUCAAUCUUUUCUUCUUUGUGAUAAAUAAUAUUAUUUCUCUUAGUAAAUGACAUUAUUUUUCUUGAUAAAUGACACCAUCGGUAUUAAUAAAUAAUAUUAUAUUUAUAUUACAAAUAACACAUUUAAUAUAUUUAAAUGACACUACUUUUCUUAGUAAAUGACACUUUUAAUAUAUAUCUAAAAAUGAUAUUAUUUCUUUAUUAAAUAACGCUAGUUUUUUA